rnacentral:rRNA from 1 species
GACGAACGCUGGCGGCGUGCUUAACACAUGCAAGUCGAACGGUGACCCUCGGAGCUUGCUUCGGGGUGAACAGUGGCGAACGGGUGAGUAACACGUGAGUAACCUGCCCCUGACUCUGGAAUAAGCGCUGGAAACGGCGUCUAAUACCGGAUAUGACACGAACGGGCAUCCGUAUCGUGUGGAAAGUUGUUCGGUUUGGGAUGGACUCGCGGCCUAUCAGCUUGUUGGUGAGGUAAUGGCUCACCAAGGCGUCGACGGGUAGCCGGCCUGAGAGGGUGACUGGCCACACUGGGACUGAGACACGGCCCAGACUCCUACGGGAGGCAGCAGUGGGGAAUAUUGCACAAUGGGCGCAAGCCUGAUGCAGCAACGCCGCGUGCGGGAUGACGGCCUUCGGGUUGUAAACCGCUUUUAGUAGGGAAGAAGCCUCUUGGGGUGACGGUACCUGCAGAAAAAGGACCGGCUAACUACGUGCCAGCCGCCGCGGUAAAAC